GGUCUACCGUGGGUCUGAUUGGAAACUGGGAGGUUGAGUGCGGCAAGGAAAAUGGAAUUUCCUGUGGAACGGUGAAAUGGCCCAAAUUAUGGGAGAACCCCCGGGGGCAAAGGGACUUUCUGGGCUGUAUCUGGACCUUAAGGGCCAAAGCGUGGGGAUCCAAACAGAAUAAAAACCCUGGUAAUCCCCGCCCGAAACGAUGAGUGCUAAGGGGUGGGGGGUUUCCCCCCCUUACUGCUGCACCUAUAACAUUAAGCACUCCGCCUGUGGAGAACGACCGCGCGGUUGAAACUUCAGGAAAUGACGGGGACCCGCACAAGCGGUGGAAAUGGGGUUUUAUUUCAACCAACCCGAAAAAACCUUACAAAGGUUGGAUCCUUUGAAAACUCUCUGGAGACAGGCUUCCCCUUUGGGUCACAAAGUGAGUGGUGGUGGAUGGCUGUCAUCUCCUGGCGUCGUGAGAUGGUGGGAUAACUCCCACAACGAGCGCACUUAUUCUGCGUAGCUGCCAUGAUUUUCGGGGUGACUCUAACUUGACUGCCGACUGACAAACCGGAGGAAGGAUGGAGAUGAGGACAAAUCAUCAUGCUCCUUGACGAUUUAUGUCUACACACUGUGCUACAAUGGACAAUGCAAAG
rnacentral:rRNA from 1 species